GACGAACGCUGGCGGCGUGCUUAACACAUGCAAGUCGAACGGAAAGGCCCUGCUUUUGUGGGGUGCUCGAGUGGCGAACGGGUGAGUAACACGUGAGUAACCUGCCCUUGACUUUGGGAUAACUUCAGGCAACUGGGGCUAAUACCGGAUAGGAGCUCCUGCUGCAUGGUGGGGGUUGGAAAGUUUCGGCGGUUGGGGAUGGACUCGCGGCUUAUCAGCUUGUUGGUGGGGUAGUGGCUUACCAAGGCUUUGCCGGGUAGCCGGCCUGAGAGGGUGACCGGCCACAGUGGGACUGAGAUACGGCCCAGACUCCUACUGGAGGGAGCAGUGGGGGAUAGUGCACAAUGGGCGGAAGCCUGAUGCAGCAACGCCGCGUGCGGGAUGACGGCCUUCGGGUUGUAAACCGCUUUCGCCUGUGACGAAGCGUGAGUGACGGUAAUGGGUAGAGAAGCACCGGCUAACUACGUG
rnacentral:rRNA from 1 species